ensembl:lncRNA
CAGAAAAAUUGGGAUCAUUAAGACAAAGAGGGUUGCUCACCAUCCAGUUUUGACAGGGGGUUAAGUUGUAACCCACUGCGGUUGCUGAUAGUGCACUGAGAUGAAUUUAAAUAGGUAAAACACCAGGCAUUCUGUGCUUAGAAUGCAAGUGAACAGGCAGGCAGGGCUCACAGAUCGUUAGAUGUACAUCUCAGGAAGAAUUUUAGUGACACUGGAUUCUAGCAUCUUCCCAUACAGAGAUAAGCCUUAAAAAGAUUAACUUGAGACAUUUUUUUUUCCUUUAUGAUUAGCAGUAAAUCUUUUACCAAGAUGUAUGCCUAACUGCAUGUAUUUCCUAUCCAGAAAGCAUAUAUAAACGGGCUUCUCCCUUACCUUUUCGGAGCAAUUUCCUCAGAGCUAAUGUCAUCCCAAAACUGGGUUCACCUCUUGGUGGGUCUCAAGCCAGUAGGCAUACCCAAGCCAAAGAAUGGAAGAAGGAAGGACUUAUUACUUGCAGCAGGGAUCGCUGACACUGGAGGAUGUGGCCGUGGAUGUCACGUGGGAGGAGUGGCAGCUCCUGGCCCCUGCUCAGAAGGCCUUGUACCAGGACGUGAUGCUAGAGGACUAUAGCAACCUGGUGUCUGUGGGGUAUCAAGUUAGCAAACCUGAUGUACUCUCCAAGUUGGAAUGAGAAGAACCACCAUGGACCUUAGACGAUGAAGUUCCUGGUCAACCCCAUCCAGAUAGUCAUUUCCAGCUCUUUGCAACCCUAUGGACUGUGGCCUGCCAGCCCCUUCUGUCCAUGAGAUUCUCCAGGCAAGAAUACCGGAAGGGGGUGCCAUUUCAUUCUCCAGGGGAUCCUCCUGGCCCAGGGAUCAAACCUGCAUCUCCCACAUCUCCAGCAUUGGCAGGCGGGUUCUUUACCACAAGCACCACGUGGCAAGCCCCUCUUUACCCUCUCUGUUUAACACCUUUGCUGUUCCUCUUCUUUGUUUCAUUAGAG